UACGAAGGGGGGCUAGCGUUGUUCGGAAUCACUGGGCGUAAAGCGCACGCAGGCGGAUUGAUAAGUCAGGGGUGAAAUCCCGGGGCUCAACCUCGGAAUUGCCUUUGAUACUGUCUAUCUCGAGUUCGGGAGAGGUUGGCGGAAUUCCUAGUGUAGAGGUGAAAUUCGUGAGAUAUUAGGAAGAAACACCAGUGGCGAAGGCGGCCAACU
rnacentral:rRNA from 1 species